rnacentral:lncRNA from 1 species
AUAUGAUAAUAUGAGUGGUGUAAAAUAGGAAAUUUUUUAUUCAUUCUGAUUGACUAAUAAAAUUAGAAUGGUGAGAAUAAUGAUGAUGAUGGUAGUGAAAUACAAGUUGUGAUGAUAUUGGUGAUGCACAAGUUGUAAUGAUACUGCUGAUAAUGAUCAAAAAUAUAUUGUAUUUGUAAUGAGACAUAAAUAAUAGAUUGGCAGUAAUGAAUGUGUAUGACUUGAUCAAUUGUGCUGGUGAGAAGGCAAUAUAUUGCCACCUAGAUGAAUUAAGUCCCAUGCCAUUUUGUGUUCAAAACUAACUGUUCUCAUCAGCUCCAAGCAUAACUGGGAAAGCUGGUUUCAAUCCUGUUAGCUGAUCUUGAAACUAUGUGCACACAUAUAAAUAUUUAUUUUUCCCCUCAUGAAUUAUAUUGUUUGCCCAAAAUAUCGGUUGAUUAUUUCAUCUAGAAACAGUGUGAAUGUUGUUUGAAUUUGGUAUGUUCACUCUGUGACAAGUGAAAGUGAUAUGUAAUUCAUGCAUAAUAUGGUGAUUUUUGGUUUCAGGAUGUAAAAAAUGAAAUUUACUUACUGAUAAAAUUCAGUGUAUAACCAUAUUCAUUAAGCCUCUGUGUCUCUCUUAGAAGCCCUACCUGCUCAAUACAAAUAAAACUCUGCAUAGUGACUUGUGCCGUGGCUAAUAUUAUGUUACAGCUUUGGUUCAAAUUUCAUAAAUCAUGAACCGAUGUACAGUAACUGCAAAUGUAAACAAAUAGGUGAACGCACACCCAGUAUACAGACUGUUAUUUGCCUUUAAGACUCCUAAGUCACAUAUCACUGAUAUAAGAUUCAUAGUAAAUUUGUUGUUUCAAGAUCACUGUAUAUUAUUUCUCAGGAUUCGUACCCCCCUCCCCCCCUUCCAGACAAACAGAAAUAUAGAUGAUACAUCCCAAAAAAUAAAUAUGAAAUUAACUCACACACACAAAGGUUUCAAGAUACUGUGUAUAAUUUCAUUCACAACUGUAUUUUAAACUACAUACAUACGGAAACCAACCUGUCACUCGACCAGUUAAUUGUUUCAAAAUAUUCUGCUUUGAUAUUAACUACAUGUUUAAUACACAUGAAGAAUUUCGUUUCCAUAGAUGUCCCCUCUGAUUUAUCCUUCCAUAAAAGUACAAUAAAAUCCCAAGUGAUAUUCUUUGGUCAAUACAUAAAAAUUACUUAUAAUCAACAAUGUUUAUUUAAUUCUUUAUAAAACGUCGCACACAAGCAGCUGCAUUGGAUACAAAAUAGACAGUUUAAAGACAGAUCACUCGACUAGUUUUCUCUCAGUUUGAUCUUCGUCCUUCGAUCUUUGAUAAGUAUUACCGUUAGCUAUUCCACAAUUUGUUGAAAGAAAGCUCGUAGAAUGCAUAGAUAAUAUAUACCCACUCUUAAAUCUCACUAGGAAAGUUUUAUUUAUCAUAAUAAUAUAAAAACUCGAAAACGUCGCGCCUUCGCGCUGCCAUGUUUGAUAAAAUCAAUCGGCUCCGCUCCCCCCCGGAUUGAAAACUAAAUUAUUACGAAAUGUCCAAUAUUUUUGGAGUCACAUGACCAGUGUUUACCAGGGCCUUUGCUUCCCGUACCAGAGCCUCUGAACCGCGCAAAGGCCCUGGGUACGAGGUUGG